rnacentral:lncRNA from 1 species
AUAUGUUGUGAAACUUCUCAUAAUUCUGUCAUCUAUGACUCGUGUGUUUUAGGCAAACAAGUUAAAUUGCCAUUUUUUAAUUCUCAAACUGCUACUCUCAUGCCUUUUGAUAUUUUACAUAGUGACUUGUGGACUUCUCCUGUUUUAAGUUCUGCUGGCCAUAAAUAUUAUGUUUUAUUUUUAGACGACUUCACAAAUUUCUUGUGGACUUUUCCUAUUAGUAGAAAAUCUCAGGUUUUUGAAAUGUUCAAGUCACUUACUUCUCUUAUUCACACUCAAUUUUUGCAAAAUGUAAAAUCCUUCCAAUGUGACAAUGGCGGUGAAUAUAAUAAUGAGCUAUUUCAACAAUAUUGUAUUACUAAUGGCCUUAUUUUUCGCUUCUCUUGCCCUCACACAUCCUCCCAAAAUGGUAAAGCGGAACGAAAAAUAAGAACCAUUAAUAAUAUGAUUCGCACUAUGCUAGCUCACUCUUCUGUUCCCCCACAAUUUUGGCAUCAUGCACUUCACAUGGCAACUUAUUUGCUAAAUAUUCUUCCCUGUAAAACACUUCAAAAUCAAUCACCAACACAGCUCCUUUACCACCGUGAUCCCAGCUACACACAUUUACGAGUCUUUGGUUGUUUGUGUUAUCCAUUACUCCCAUCACCUACCAUUCAUAAAUUACAACCCCGUUCUACUCCGUGUGUCUUCUUAGGUUAUCCCCUGAAUCAUAGAGGUUACAAGUGUUUUGAUUUGUCUAACAGAAAGUUAAUAAUUUCGAGGCAUGUUAUCUUUGAUGAAACUCAAUUUCCCUUCACCAAAGUACACUACCCUUCCCCUCACUCCUAUGACUUUCUAGACAAUGACCUACACCCCUACCUCAUACAACAGUGGCAAACUCAACAUCCACCACCGGAUACUCCUAACCAACAACCAGCAACAACCACAAUGGCCAAACCAAUCGACCCAACUCCACUAAAUUCACAUACUACAAUCUCCCCUACCUUAACCUCACCAAUUCAACCACAUCCUCCACCACCUACCCGCACCAUCAUCACCCGUAGCAUGAAUGGUAUUACUAAACCCCGCACAAUGUUUAACUUAUCCCUUUCACACUCAAACCACACCAUCUCUCCCAUACCUAAAAAUCACAAACUAGCCUUAUCGUACCCGAAUUGGAAAUCCGCAAUGCAAUCUGAGUUUGAUGCACUUAUUAGAAAUAAGACGUGGGAUUUAGUUCCUCGCCCUAGAGAUGCUAAUCUUAUUCGAUGUAUGUGGAUUUUUAAACAUAAGAAAAAUUUUGAUGGGUCUUUUGAUCGCUAUAAGGCUCGCCUUGUUUGUGAUGGCAGGUCACAGGUUGCAGGUGUGGAUUGUGAUGAGACUUUCAGCCCGGUGGUAAAACCCGCUACCAUUCGAACAGUACUCACCAUUGCUCUCUCUCACUCAUGGCCCAUUCAUCAGCUGGAUGUUCAGAAUGCUUUUUUUGCAUGGUGAUCUUCACGAAACUGUCUACAUGCAUCAACCAUUGGGUUUUCGCGACUCUUGUCAUCCGGAUUACGUUUGUCGUUUGAAGAAGUCGCUUUAUGGUCUCAAGCAAGUGCCUCGAGCAUGGUACCAACGCUUUGCUGACUAUGUAACUACCAUUGGUUUUCGACAUAGCACAUCAGAUCAUUCUCUCUUCAUAUACCGACAGCAAUCCGACAUGGCCUACAUUCUGCUGUGGACGACAUCAUCCUUAUUACUUCCACUCAUGCCCUUCGCCAAUCCAUUAUGUCCCUCUUGGCAUCCGAGUUUGCAAUGAAGGAUUUGGGUCCUCUGAGCUAUUUUUUGGGUAUUGCCGUCUCUCGUCAUCCUGGUGGUCUCUUUCUCAGUCAAAGCACCUAUGCCUCUGAAAUCAUUGACCGUGCUGGGAUGCAAUCUUGCAAAUCAUCUGUCACCCCUGUUGACACUAAACAAAAACUCAGCACUUCAUCAGGCACACCUUAUGAAGAUCCAUCUCUCUAUCGUAGUCUUGCAGGAGCUUUACAAUACCUCACAUUCACUAGACCCGACAUCUCUUACGCUGUUUAGCAAGUUUGUCUUCACAUGCAUGCACCUAGUACAGAACACAUGCUUGCUCUAAAUCUCAUUCUUCGUUAUGUUCAGGGUACCGUACAUUUUGGACUACAUUUAUCACCAUCUCCCAUCACCAAACUCCUUUCCUACACUGACUCCGAUUGGGGUGGAUGUCCUGACACCCGACGUUCCACUUCUGGAUACUGUGUCUUUCUCGGUGACAACCUCAUCGCUUGGUCCUCCAAGAGACAACCCACUCUCUCUCGGUCUAGUGCUGAAGCGGAAUAUAGAGGUGUUGCUAAUGUUGUGUCUGAGUCAUGUUGGCUUCGUAAUCUCUUACUGGAGCUCCACUUUCCUAUUCCUCAGGCUACUUUGGUGUAUUGUGACAAUGUUAGUGCCAUCUACCUAUCUGGCAACCCUGUGCAGCAUCAACGUACCAAACACAUUGAAAUGGACAUACACUUUGUACGGGAAAAAGUAGCUCGUGGUCAGGCACGCGUCCUCCAUGUUCCAUCUCGACAUCAGAUUGCAGAUAUCUUCACCAAAGGGCUUCCUCGCAUUCUCUUUGAUGAUUUUCGGACCAGUCUCAGCGUCCGUGAACCUCCCGCUUCGACUGUGGGGGUCUGAUAGAAUAUUAUAUUUAAUAAAAUUAAUAGAAUAGAAUAUUCGGUCAUUAUUGGCUAUUAUUAGUUCCCUGUAAAUAGGCUGUAUCAUAAUUNUCGGUCAUUAUUGGCUAUUAUUAGUUCCCUGUAAAUAGGCUGUAUCAUAAUUAGUAAGUUGAUCAGACGUUACACAACAGUUGUAUAUAUUCUAUUUAGAUCAAUGAGAAAGGCAAGCAUUUUGUUAUCUUACAUGGUAUCACUCCUAACCGAUCCCUCUCUCUAAAUAUAUAUAUAUAUAAAAAAAAAAAAAAAAAGAGAGAAAGAAAGAAAAACAGAAGUCGUAGAACUCUGUUCUCCUUCUUCUCACGCACGCGCAGCGCCGCCGCACCCCUCCCUCUUACCUUGCGCCGCCGCCGCCUCUGUUGCCCUGUAAUCCGAUCGACCUCCGAUCCUUGACCAGCAGUGCUCGUGCGUCACUUCCUCCACUUCGACCGUGCCCACCGCGCCGUCGUCGCCCCCUUUCUCAAUCUGGUUGUGUUUCACCUCCGAUCACCUCCGUUUCUCUUCUUUCCGUGCUGUUCUACCUUAACCAUCACUCAUCAUGUCCGAUUCCGACCUCAAUGAUGACCAGAGCAGCGCCGCCGCUGCCUCUGCCUCCGCUGCUGCCGCUGCCUCCGCCGCUGUCAAUUCGACCAUUUUCAAAAAUGGCUUUCAUCCCGCUCUUGCUGUCUCCAAUAUUAGGAAUCACAUUCCUAUUAUUCUUGAGAUGGAAAAGGACCAAUAUGGAACUUGGGCGGAACUCUUCUGCAUUCAUGCUCGUUCUCAUCGAGUAUUGCAUCACAUUGUUCCCUCUGCAGACAAAACACCGCCACUACCUGCAAACGUCGAAUAUGAGCAAUGGACUACUCUAGAUGCCACCGUGCUUCAGUGGAUUUAUUCCACAAUUUCCACUUACUUACUGAUGACUAUUUUGGAACCAAACUCCACUGCGGUAGCCGCAUGGAAUCGUUUGGCAGACAUCUUUCAAGACAAUCAAAACGCCCGUGCUGUCACUCUCGAGCAAGAGUUCUCCAACACCCGCAUGGAAGACUUUCCCAACGUCUCUGCAUACUGCCAGUGUCUCAAGAUGCUCUCUGACCAAUUGAGGAAUGUCGGCUCUCCCGUCAACAAUCACCGUCUGGUACUCCAACUGAUAUCUGGACUCCCUGAAGCUUAUCGUAGUGUGGCCACCCUGAUUCGCCAGAGUAAUCCUCUUCCUGCAUUUUAUCAGGCUCGCUCCAUGCUCACCUUGGAAGAAUCUGGCAUGGCUAAAAUGGCUAACACCGGCUCUCCUGCUGCCUUACACACCACUCAGCAGUGACCUCCUGAGGACACCUCUCAACGUGGCAACCGUCGUCCCAACAACCACAACAACCGGUCUCGUUCUCGUGGCAAUCAGGGUCGCGGAGGGGGGCGUGGUAACCGUAGCAGACCUCAAUCCGGAGCUCCCAACACCUCCCCAUCCUGGUCUUCUCCUCCUUGGGCGCAGCAACAACAAUACCCUGCCUGGCAAUCAUGGGGUUGGAUCCCACCACCAUGGGCCAUACCUCCGUGUCCGUAUCCCACAUCUCAGUGGACACACCCUACUGGCCCUACCGCUCCUCCGAGACAGCCGGGCAUCCUAGGACAGCGUCCUCAGGCGUAUGCAGCUUCUACUUCAUCUCCUACACCAAUUGACAUUGAGGCAGCUAUGCACACCAUGUCUCUACAUCCUCCUGAUACUCAGUGGUACAUGGAUACCGGCGCAACAUCUCACACGACAUCAUCACGAGGUAAUCUCUCGUCUUAUUCUCCUAUAAGUCAUUUAAAUCAGAAAAUUAUUGUUGGCAGUGGCCAUGGAAUUCCAAUUCACGGCACCGUACACACACAACUCACAACCUCUAACCAACCCAUUCACUUAAAACAUGUCCUUCAUGCCCCGAAAAUUAUUAAAAAUUUAAUCUCUGUAAGACAACUCACCACUGACAACAAUGUAUCUGUUUCUUUUGACCCCUUUGGUUUUACUGUCUCUGAUUUUCAGACGGGGAUUCCUCUUCUCAGAUGUAAUAGUCGUGGCGACCUAUAUCCAGUCACCCCUCCCAACAAUUUUGUCGGUCUUACGUCCAGUCUAUGGCACGAUCGUCUUGGUCAUCCUGGCGUGUCUGUUUUAAAUUCCCUACGCAAGAAUAAAUUCAUAUGUUGUGAAACUUCUCAUAAUUCUGUCAUCUGUGACUCGUGUGUUUUAGGCAAACAAGUUAAAUUGCCAUUUUUUAAUUCUCAAACUGCUACUCUCAUACCUUUUGAUAUUUUACAUAGUGACUUGUGGACUUCUCCUGUUUUAAGUUCUGCUGGCCAUAAAUAUUAUGUUCUAUUUUUAGACGACUUCACAAAUUUCUUGUGGACCUUUCCUAUUAGUAGAAAAUCUCAGGUUUUUGAAAUGUUCAAGUCACUUACUUCUCUUAUUCACACUCAAUUUUUGCAAAAUGUAAAAUCCUUCCAGUGUGACAAUGGCGGUGAAUAUAAUAAUGAGCUAUUUCAACAAUAUUGUACUACUAAUGGCCUUAUUUUUCGCUUCUCUUGCCCUCACACAUCCUCCCAAAAUGGAAAAGCGGAACGAAAAAUAAGAACCAUUAAUAAUAUGAUUCGCACUAUGCUAGCUCACUCUUCUGUUCCCCCACAAUUUUGGCAUCAUGCACUUCACAUGGCAACUUAUUUGCUAAAUAUUCUUCCCUGUAAAACACUUCAAAAUCAAUCACCAACACAGCUCCUUUACCACCGUGAUCCCAGCUACACACAUUUACGAGUCUUUGGUUGUCUGUGUUAUCCAUUACUCCCAUCACCUACCAUUCAUAAAUUACAACCCCGUUCUACUCCGCGUGUCUUCUUAGGUUAUCCCCUGAAUCAUAGAGGUUACAAGUGUUUUGAUUUGUCUAACAGAAAGUUAAUAAUUUCGAGGCAUGUUAUCUUUGGUGAAACUCAAUUUCCCUUCACCAAAAUACACUACCCUUCCCCUCACUCAUAUGACUUUCUAGACAACGACUUACACCCCUACCUCAUACAACAGUGGCAAACUCAACAUCCACCACCGGAUACUCCUAACGAACCACCAGCAACAACCACAAUGGCCCAACCAAUCGACCCAACUCCACUAAAUUCACAUACUACAAUCUCCCCUACCUUAAUCUCACCAAUUCAACCACAUCCUCCACCACCUACCCGCACCAUCAUCACCCGUAGCAUGAAGGGUAUUACUAAACCCCGCACAAUGUUUAACUUAUCCCUUUCACACUCAAACCACACCAUCUCUCCCAUACCUAAAAAUCACAAACUAGCCUUAUCGGACCCGAAUUGGAAAUCCGCAAUGCAAUCUGAGUUUGAUGCACUUAUUAGAAAUAAGACGUGGGAUUUAGUUCCUCGCCCUAGAGAUGCUAAUCUUAUUCGAUGUAUGUGGAUUUUUAAACAUAAGAAAAAUUAUGAUGGGUCUUUUGAGCGCUAUAAGGCUCGCCUUGUUUGUGAUGGCAGGUCACAGGUUGCAGGUGUGGAUUGUGAUGAGACUUUCAGCCCGGUGGUAAAACCCGCUACCAUUCAAACAGUACUCACCAUUGCUCUCUCUCACUCAUGGCCCAUUCAUCAGCUGGAUGUUCAGAAUGCUUUUUUGCAUGGUGAUCUUCACGAAACUGUCCACAUGCAUCAACCAUUGGGUUUUCACGACUCUCGUCAUCCGGACUACGUUUGUCGUUUGAAGAAGUCGCUUUAUGGUCUCAAGCAAGCGCCUCGAGCAUGGUACCAACGCUU